AGUGAACGCUGGCGGUAGGCCUAACACAUGCAAGUCGAACGGCAGCACAGUAAGAGCUUGCUCUUACGGGUGGCGAGUGGCGGACGAGUGAGGAAUACAUCGGAAUCUACUUUUUCGUGGGGGAUAACGUAGGGAAACUUACGCUAAUACCGCAUACGACCUACGGGUGAAAGCAGGGGAUCUUCGGACCUUGCGCGAUUGAAUGAGCCGAUGUCGGAUUAGCUAGUUGGCGGGGUAAAGGCCCACCAAGGCGACGAUCCGUAGCUGGUCUGAGAGGAUGAUCAGCCACACUGGAACUGAGACACGGUCCAGACUCCUACGGGAGGCAGCAGUGGGGAAUAUUGGACAAUGGGCGCAAGCCUGAUCCAGCCAUACCGCGUGGGUGAAGAAGGCCUUCGGGUUGUAAAGCCCUUUUGUUGGGAAAGAAAAGCAGCAGGUUAAGACCCCGCUGUUCUGACGGUACCCAAAGAAUAAGCACCGGCUAACUUCGUG
rnacentral:rRNA from 1 species